AAAAGGAAAGUAGCUCCGUAACUUAAACUGAGUUCUAUUCUGUGCGUGAAAAUGACAGAGGUAAUUGUUGGGGAAGCCAAAGUUCCCGUUGGUCCUUUGGGACAGAAAUACAUUGACAACGCAAUUUUAGCACUAAAAGGAAGUUAUGAUGCUUCUAACUUACAAAAAACAGUUGACGAUUUAUCCAAGAAUUAUCAUAACCUGCAGGGAGCAUACAAAUGGAACGUACUUGGCUACCAAAAAGUAAAUUCCGCAGAGAAAAAUAUUAUUUCUCAUAUCCACAUUGAACUAAAAAUUAGUAACGACGGUGAAUAUGAUGUAUUUUAUAUUUGCAGUCACCUUUAGAUUAUAAAAUGUAUUUUUGAUGCAAAGAAAAUAAAGCAAAGUAUAAGUA